rnacentral:tRNA from 1 species
GUCUUAGUAGUAAAUAUAUUACAUUACCUUUUCGAGGUAAAAUAGAGCAUUAUUGCUCCUGAGAUA